rnacentral:lncRNA from 1 species
ACAACUCUUUGUGCUUUCAUUUGAGGUGAAGAUACCCUGAACAAGCCCCUCAAAGGAUUAUUAUCCAUAGUGACAAGUGACAAUAAAUUUCUGCACACUAUAUGAAUGUUUCCUUACCAAUUUCCACUUACCAAAGGCGCUUCACUCCCCGGCAACAGCGCCAGAAAAGAGUCUUGAUGACCCACAAGUAUAGGGGAUCAAUCGUAGUCCUUUCGGUAAGUAAGAGUGCCGAACCCAACGAGGAGCAGAAGGAU